rnacentral:tRNA from 1 species
GGAUUGUAGCUCAGUGGUAGAGCACUUGCCUUGUACACACAAGGUCCUGGGUUUGAUCCUCAGCACCA